GCCUUCGUGGCUCAGCUGGUUAGAGCGCCGGUCUCAUACAUGACUCAUGUGUCCAUAUGACCGCAUACAAGCGGGCCAUCCGGAGAUCGCCAGUUCGAUCCUGGCCGAGGGCA